rnacentral:rRNA from 1 species
UACGUAGGGGGCAAGCGUUGUCCGGACUUAUUGGGCGUAAAGAGCGUGUAGGCGGCUUGACAGGUCUGCUGUGAAAACUCGAGGCUCAACCUCGAGAUGUCGGCGGAAACCGUCUGGCUAGAGUCCGGAAGAGGAGAGUGGAAUUCCUGGUGUAGCGGUGAAAUGCGCAGAUAUCAGGAAGAACACCUAUGGCGAAGGCAGCUCUCUGGGACGGUACUGACGCUGAGACGCGAAAGCGUGGGGAGCGAACAGG